GUGCUCCCUUCAGCAGCAUAUAUACUAAAAUUGGAACAAUACGAUGAAGAUUAGCAUGGUGUCUGCCCAAGGAUUACACGCAAAUUCAUGAAGUGUUGCAUUAAAGA